AUUGAACGCUGGCGGCAGGCCUAACACAUGCAAGUCGAGCGGUAACAGAAAGCAGCUUGCUGCUUUGCUGACGAGUGGCGGACGGGUGAGUAAUGUCUGGGAAACUGCCUGAUGGAGGGGGAUAACUACUGGAAACGGUAGCUAAUACCGCAUAACGUCGCAAGACCAAAGAGGGGGACCUUCGGGCCUCUUGCCAUCGGAUGUGCCCAGAUGGGAUUAGCUAGUAGGUGGGGUAACGGCUCACCUAGGCGACGAUCCCUAGCUGGUCUGAGAGGAUGACCAGCCACACUGGAACUGAGACACGGUCCAGACUCCUACGGGAGGCAGCAGUGGGGAAUAUUGCACAAUGGGCGCAAGCCUGAUGCAGCCAUGCCGCGUGUAUGAAGAAGGCCUUCGGGUUGUAAAGUACUUUCAGCGGGGAGGAAGGGAGUAAAGUUAAUACCUUUGCUCAUUGACGUUACCCGCAGAAGAAGCACCGGCUAACUCCGUG
rnacentral:rRNA from 1 species